UCUUCUGAGUUACAUGAUAUCUUUCAGGUAAGGAAGAGACAAAACCAAUGGAUCCUCAGGUGGCAUAUAUGAUAAGGAACAUCACUGGCUUUUGGUUAAUAUCACACAUAUAUUAUUCAAUCAUGUUUUUUGAUAUGAGACAAAGUCUUCACAAAAACACUUUUAUGUGGCAUGUGCAUGGGAUCCUGUCAGUGGCUUAUUCAAUGGAAGUGGGUAUUUAUAUUUGUUAUUUGUGGACAAAGCACAGUUGUCCAGGAUUUAUUCUUAAGGAGGAUUGGGUGAACUGGUGUUCUUGGAGUCUCAUUUUGACCUUCUACAUACUCCUAAUAAUCAUUAUUUUGAAAUUUUUCUCUAAUUAUAUUUCCUCUAUUUUUAUGUUACUGAUCUUUUCAAGGAAUUUCGCCAAUACUGAGGGCAUUAUCUUUUUGAUGUCUAUAUUUAGGUUAUUUUUUUGUGUGGUUUCUUCCCCUUUUUCUUUUAAAAACGCACUCUGCUUCUCGGAAAUAAGGGGUCCUGUCCCAACCUUUCUGUGCAGCUCUGAGCCUUGGCUUUGAGCACAAAGGCCCCCUGUGUUUGCAGGAGGAAGCUUUGCCUGCCCUUUUGAGGAAACAGUCUGGUUUCACAGUUUGCCUUCUGAGGUGGGACUGGAAGCUGACCUACUGAUUUGUUCUUAGACUGAGCCAGGACUGAGCGUCUUCAGUGUGAUUUGCUUUGAUUAAGACCCUCUCACCAAACUUUCCCACAGUCUCUCUGAGAUAGCCUGAACACACUUUUCACCCCAGUGAGACUGAUUUUUCUUGAACUUUUUUCCAGUCUGUGUUGAGCUAGAAAGUUCGUUCCAUUAGACUCUAUUCAGAGGCUUGGUGUCAUGUGAUUUUCCAGGGAAACUGGGAGAACUGGAGCAGCUCUCGGACUUUAUUCCACCAUCUUGGCUCCACCUCAGAAGUCUUUUUUUCCUAUUCUUAUUUAAAUGUUUGAGUUCCAAAUUCUAUCCUUCUCUGCCCUUUUCUCCCCUCCCCAAGACUGUAAGCAGUUAGAUAUAGUUUAUACAUGUGCAACUAUGUAAGACACUUCCAUAUUAGUCAUUUUGUACAAGAAGACUCAAAUGAAAGAAAAAAACAAUAAAGAGAUAAAUACCAUAUUUCAUCCUGAAUUCAGCCAGUAUGAGUUUUUCUAUGAAGGCGGAUAGUGUGUUUUAUUAUUAUUCUUUUGGGAUUGUCUUCAAUUGUUGUCAAGAUGAAAAUAACUAAGUCAUUCAAACUAAGUAUAUUUUUAACUUGUAUUCAGCUUAUCUUCACAAAACAGUAGUUCAAGUAACUGGAACUUAUCUUUUAGACUUGCUAGCACACAGAAAAUGGCUAGACUGCCCUGGCGAUCA